CCCUGGCUCAGAUUGAACGCUGGCGGCAGGCCUAACACAUGCAAGUCGAGCGGAUGACAGGAGCUUGCUCCUGAAUUCAGCGGCGGACGGGUGAGUAAUGCCUAGGAAUCUGCCUGGUAGUGGGGGACAACGUCUCGAAAGGGACGCUAAUACCGCAUACGUCCUACGGGAGAAAGCAGGGGACCUUCGGGCCUUGCGCUAUCAGAUGAGCCUAGGUCGGAUUAGCUAGUUGGUGAGGUAAUGGCUCACCAAGGCGACGAUCCGUAACUGGUCUGAGAGGAUGAUCAGUCACACUGGAACUGAGACACGGUCCAGACUCCUACGGGAGGCAGCAGUGGGGAAUAUUGGACAAUGGGCGAAAGCCUGAUCCAGCCAUGCCGCGUGUGUGAAGAAGGUCUUCGGAUUGUAAAGCACUUUAAGUUGGGAGGAAGGGCAUUAACCUAAUACGUUAGUGUUUUGACGUUACCGACAGAAUAAGCACCGGC
rnacentral:rRNA from 1 species